UCGCAAUUUCAUUGCUCAUGUAAUUAGAGUAUCCACGCAUCCCAUUUGCUUCUCUCCCAACUCACCAUAGCAGAUUACAUCCAGACCAGGUUACCGGCCACCGGGCUACCGACCUUCUUCCAUCUUCGUCUCCGCAUAUUUGCUUCAAUUUCAAACCAGGUUAACUUAUGUGCCAGUGUAGGGUAUGAUUUAAUUGGAUUUUGGUCGGCUUCUUUUCAUCGAUGUUCUCAUGUACAUGUGCCGAUUUUCUGCUGAUUAAUUGAUUGAAUCGGCUGUGACCCGGUUUAGGGUUCUUACAAAUGCGGACUGAAAAGAUACCCUCUUUAGAGCUGGGAUCACCAAGAAGCAGAAUCGAAGUUCAUGUGGAAUAGCACAAGAUAUUUUACUAAAAAACCUAACACAAAAGAUGUAUCAGUCAACAUCAGCAAGUUAAUAGCAAGAUGGCAUGUGUUGGCAGGUAUUAUAGUGUUAAUGCCAUUAUCAAUGAAGCAACAAAACCCACUGAGGUAACUUUCUUCAGUGAAGGCAUGGUAGUCCUCUGCCCUCCUCAAGACAAGCUGCGAAGACUUUAUAACAAAGCACGGUUGCACCAAUCCUAAAACGCUCCCACAACAAAUGGCGUCAAUGAUAGGCGAGGUAAGGCCGAUGCACGUCUCGACAAGGAAGGAAGGGCAUGUGGUAGUAACAAACGUGACAAAAGCUGAGACAGUAAGCGAAUACUAUCCAACCUCUCAAGAACAUAGCGUCUUGGCAAUCCCUCCCACAACACCUAACCCGAAAAUCAACCAGAAAAAAACGUCUGCCAGUUGGGUCACCAGAGUCAAGCCGCGUUGCAAAGAAGGCACAUGAAGAAGAAUGAUCGCUUAGAAGACUGCUUUUUUGGAUGGCUGCACCCUGGAACACUGUGUAGCCCGCAUCACCUACAUCCAUAAUCUUACAAAAACGCACAUAGGAAACACCUUAUGUGCAAGUUAUCUACCUAACACACUUGGUGUUAGUAAGAUAAGUUGUAAACAAAUCAAUACAAAAACAUUUUGUAGGUAGACUAGGCGAGGUAAAUAAAACAAAAAAAGUUCAUUUAACACA